ensembl:lncRNA
AUGUCCUCCCCUAAACCUACCCGUCUCCACCCCCUGGACCACAUUUCCACCCCUAAACCUACCCGUCUCCACCCCCUGGACCACAUCUCCACCCCUAAACCUACCCACCUCCACCCGCUGGAUCUCAUCUCCACCGCUAAACCUACCCGUCUCCACCCGCUGGACCACAUUUCCACCCCUAAACCUACCCGUCUCCACCCCCUGGAUCUCAUCUCCACCCCUAAACCUACCUGUCUCCACCCCCUGGAUCUCAUCUCCACCGCUAAACCUACCCGUCUCCACCCGCUGGACCACAUUUCCACCCCUAAACCUACCCGUCUCCACCCCCUGGAUCUCAUCUCCACCGCUAAACCUACCUGUCUCCACCCCCUGGACCACAUUUCCACCCCUAAACCUACCCGUCUCAACCCCCUGGACCACAUCUCCACCCCUAAACCUACCCAUCUCCAGCCCCUGGAUUCCAUCUCCACCGCUAAACCUACCCGUCUCCACCCGCUGGACCACAUUUCCACCCCUAAACCUACCCGUCUCCACCCGCUGGACCACAUCUCCACCCCUAAACCUACCCGUCUCCACCCCCUGGAUCUCAUCUCCACCGCUAAACCUACCCGUCUCCACCCCCUGGACCACAUCUCCACCGCUAAACCUACCUGUCUCCACCCCCUGGAUCUCAUCUCCACCGCUAAACCUACCCGUCUCCACCCGCUGGACCACAUUUCCACCCCUAAACCUACCCGUCUCCACCCCUGGAUCUCAUCUCCACCCCUAAACCUACCCGUCUCCACCCCCUGGACCACAUUUCCACCCCUAAACCUACCCGUCUCCACCCCCUGGAUCUCAUCUCCACCGCUAAACCUACCCGUCUCCACCCGCUGGACCACAUUUCCACCCCUAAACCGACCCGUCUCCACCCCCUGGAUCUCAUCUCCACCGCUAAACCUACCCGUCUCCACCCCCGGGACCACAUUUCCACCCCUAAACCUAUCCGUCUCCACCCCCUGGACCACAUUUCCACCGCUAAACCUACCCGUCUCCACCCGCUGGACCACAUUCCACCCCUAA